rnacentral:lncRNA from 1 species
GUGAAGUAACCACCAUAUUCUCGUGUGAACACUCACUAUCUGCAGACCAUUCUAUACACCGGAGUCCUUUUAACCAGCCUGCCAACUGUAUGAUGAAGGGUUUCCACCCAUUAGCUGCCAAAGCUCAAGAAACUGGUG